GGCUUGAUAAGAACGGGACUGGAACCCGCCUG
rnacentral:tRNA from 1 species